AUGAGGAUCUCCCAUCAGCACGAAUUUGCUCAGGGGCUGCGGCUACGGCAGAUUGACAUGCUAGAUGACACCAUUGCGAGUAGCUCAGCAACCCAGAGCAAAAUGGCCAAACGAUUAAGGGAAGUGUGUGUAACGGCAUUAAAAAAUGAGAAGACGUACAGGUCAGAGGAUCGGCGGCAGACGGGAGUUUGUUGUCAUCGAUGAGAGCCAUUUUCGGCACAAACGAAAGUAUGGGAGAGGAAGAAUGGCUGGUGCCUGGAACCGGAAAAAAUGGGUUUUUGGGAUGCUUGGUGUAAAAGAGAACUCUCGAAGGCCAAUUCU